rnacentral:rRNA from 1 species
GCUGAAAGCCUGGUGCUUGCACCGGGUGGAUGAGUGGCGAACGGGUGAGUAACACGUGAGUAACCUGCCCCUGACUUCGGGAUAAGCCCGGGAAACUGGGUCUAAUACCGGAUACGACUGCCGGACGCAUGUCUGGUGGUGGAAAGUUUUUUCGGUUGGGGAUGGGCUCGCGGCCUAUCAGUUUGUUGGUGAGGUAAUGGCUCACCAAGACGACGACGGGUAGCCGGCCUGAGAGGGCGACCGGCCACACUGGGACUGAGACACGGCCCAGACUCCUACGGGAGGCAGCAGUGGGGAAUAUUGCACAAUGGGGGAAACCCUGAUGCAGCGACGCAGCGUGCGGGAUGACGGCCUUCGGGUUGUAAACCGCUUUCAGCAGGGAAGAAGCGCAAGUGACGGUACCUGCAGAAGAAGUACCGGCUAACUACGUGCCAGCAGCCGCGGUAAUACGUAGGGUACGAGCGUUGUCCGGAAUUAUUGGGCGUAAAGAGCUCGUAGGUGGUUGGUCACGUCUGCUGUGGAAACGCAACGCUUAACGUUGCGCGUGCAGUGGGUACGGGCUGACUAGAGUGCAGUAGGGGAGUCUGGAAUUCCUGGUGUAGCGGUGAAAUGCGCAGAUAUCAGGAGGAACACCGGUGGCGAAGGCGGGACUCUGGGCUGUAACUGACACUGAGGAGCGAAAGCAUGGGGAGCGAACAGGAUUAGAUACCCUGGUAGUCCAUGCCGUAAACGUUGGGCACUAGGUGGUGGGGGGGCAUUCCACGUUCUCCGGCGCCGUAGCUAACGCAUUAAGUGCCCCGCCUGGGGAGUACGGUCGCAAGGCUAAAACUCAAAGGAAUUGACGGGGGCCCGCACAAGCGGCGGAGCAUGCGGAUUAAUUCGAUGCAACGCGAAGAACCUUACCAAGGCUUGACAUACACCGGGACCGUCCUGGAAACAGGUCCUCUUCUUUGAAGCUGGUGUACAGGUGGUGCAUGGUUGUCGUCAGCUCGUGUCCUGAAAAGGUUGGGGUUAAGUCCCCGAAAC